CAAGGCGAGGGAAUCAAAGUAUGUUUUGAUUAUAGUUUUUACUUAGCAAGCAUUUAAUUAUACAGAGCUGCCUGCCUCGACGAUCGCAGGCCUCUGGCAGUCGAUGAGCCAUUACGGAGUGGCUUGAGCCAUUUUGUCAGAUCGAUUCUCGCUCCGAAAGCUGGUGGCAGCUGAUCAGAUCGAUGCUGCCUCAUUCCUCGGGGAGACUCGUACACAAACUCCAGUCAAUGCCUACGAGUAUGUCUCAAUUUUAGAGCUAUACACGUAUGACACGCUGCCAGAAGUGGCAAAUCAACGCUCCAGUGGCGACCCACAUUGGCCAUCGCAUCGCAUCGCACCGACAGCUCGUCAUCUCGAUGAUGUUCGGGGAUCGUGAAGAAGCAAAGCGAAAUGAAGACAGAGAGACCCAUCAUCGAUACCCUCCUUAGCAUUAGCACGGUUUCAGCACAUUCGCAGCAGCCCCAUCUCCAGCUCCAUCUCCAUCUCGAUCUGGCAACUGGCAUUUGGCAUCGAUAACUUAAUUCCAUCCAUGGCUGUGCAACGCGAUGCUUCUAACCCAAUUCACGGGCCAUGCAAAGUUUUUCUGGCAUCUGAUUGAACCGACCGAGUGCUGGAACUGGAUGUGGAUGUGGAUCUGGAUCUGGAUCUACUCUCCCCUGGCUGCUGCCACAUACAUUCGAGGUUUAGCCCGUUCACGAGGCUGCCUCUCUGCUCUGACAUUUGUCAGCUGCCAGUUGACGGAACUUUUGGCCCGGAGUCAAACCACCCAUAUGGUAGCCGAGUGCUGCUCCAUCUCUGUCGACUCUCAGGUGACCCUAAUUACCUCCAAAGCAUGCAUGCAUUAGAGACGAGACGAGACAAAGCGCCGGGUAUUAUACUCGCACGUAUGGACCGGAGUUAUUAAUGUCCAACGAAAGCCCAGUUGACACCAACUUUCAGCAGGCCAAAUAUUAACAGUGUGCAGCAUAUAAAAGCACCGAAUUGAAGGAGAUCGAAGGUCCGAGUGUCCCUGAAAAUAAACAUCUUUAGAUGGACAGAUAGAUGGAAGUGGCAUUUACAGUAUUCCCUUUAGUCACCCUCCCAUUAGAACAGAUUGGGCUGAAUAUUCAAUAUGUCGUGCCAAUACCAAACUGCAAUUUGUACUUGUUUAGGUUGGACAGUGUUAAUAACAAGACUGUGCAUGUAUGUGGCUCUUUCGAGCCGCUAGAUGAGUGAUCGCGAAGCAA
rnacentral:sRNA from 1 species